CCUGCCCUUGGGUCCGGCAUAACCCCGGGAAACUGGGGAUAAUUCCGGAUAACGCAUAUAUGCUGGAAUGCUUUAUGCGUCAAAUGGAUUCGUCUGCCCAAGGAUGGGUCUGCGGCCUAUCAGGUAGUAGUGGGUGUAAUGUACCUACUAGCCGACGACGGGUACGGGUUGUGAGAGCAAGAGCCCGGAGAUGGAUUCUGAGACAUGAAUCCAGGCCCUACGGGGCGCAGCAGGCGCGAAAACUUUACAAUGCGGGAAACCGUGAUAAGGGGACACCGAGUGCCAGCAUCAUAUGCUGGCUGUCCGGGUGUGUAAAAUACACCCGUUAGCAAGGGCCGGGCAAGACCGGUGCCAGCCGCCGCGGUAACACCGGCGGCCCGAGUGGUGAUCGUGAUUAUUGGGUCUAAAGGGUCCGUAGCCGGUUUGGUCAGUCCUCCGGGAAAUCUGACGGCUUAACCGUUAGGCUUUCGGAGGAUACUGCCAGGCUUGGAACCGGGAGAGGUAAGAGGUACUACAGGGGUAGGAGUGAAAUCUUGUAAUCCCUGUGGGACCACCUGUGGCGAAG
rnacentral:rRNA from 1 species